rnacentral:rRNA from 1 species
UACGUAGGGGGCAAGCGUUGUCCGGAUUUAUUGGGCGUAAAGAGCGUGUAGGCGGUCAGGUAGGUCCGUUGUGAAAACUCGAGGCUCAACCUCGAGACGUCGGUUGAAACCGUCUGGCUAGAGUCCGGAAGAGGAGAGUGGAAUUCCCGGUGUAGCGGUGAAAUGCGCAGAUAUCGGGAAGAACACCCGUGGCGAAGGCGGCUCUCUGGGACGGUACUGACGCUGAGACGCGAAAGCGUGGGGAGCGAACAGG